rnacentral:rRNA from 1 species
UACGGGGGGGCAAGCGUUGUUCGGAAUUACUGGGCGUAAAGGGCUCGUAGGUGGCCAACUAAGUCAGACGUGAAAUCCCUCGGCUUAACCGGGGAACUGCGUCUGAUACUGGAUGGCUAGAGUUUGGGAGAGGGAUGCGGAAUUCCAGGUGUAGCGGUGAAAUGCGUAGAUAUCUGGAGGAACACCGGUGGCGAAGGCGGCAUCCUGGACCAACACUGACGCUGAGGAGCGAAAGCCAGGGGAGCAAACGGGG